UUAUAAAAGGGUUUUAUAUCAUUUAAACCACCCGCUUCGACCGAAAAUAUCAAGUAGGCCACCGGUUCUAACGGCGUCUCAUUUAAAACACCCAAAGUCGAAUAUAUAUCUCUCCGUUAACUCCAGUUCAAAACCCUAACGGAGAAGCUGAUGUGGCAGCUGACGUGUCGCGCUUCGAUUAGGUGGCAGUUUGAGAGGGGAGAGCUCCAUGUCUUCCACGUCAAAUACAUCAUCUCUAAGGUGGGGAAAUAGCAUGGUGCUUUGUCACUGUGCUUCUUAUGCUCGAUUACGUACCUCAUGGACUAUAAAGAAUCCAGGGAGGCGUUUCUGGAGUUGUUGUAAAUCGAAGGAAGCUGGAGGCUGCAACUUCUUCCUAUGGAUGGAUGAUGAGUUCGGUGGGAGAGCAAAAGAUGUUAUUGAGGAGUUGAAAAAGAAAAUCAGUUGUCUUGAGGAGAAGCAGCUAAAAACAGAGGAGAGAUUGGCCAAAAAAAGAGAGAAAAUGAAGAUGUUGAAGAUACAAAAUAGUGUGCAAUUUAAUAUCAUUAUGGCCUUAAUUGUAAGCUUGAUUGCAAUUAUUGUAAUGAUUUAUGUUAACAGGGAGAUGAGUAGCAUUAGAAGGAACUAUUUGUACUGAACAAUUGGUUGUAAUCGAUUUACAUUAAUGGAAGAGAUCAUUAAU